rnacentral:rRNA from 1 species
AUACGGAGGGUGCAAGCGUUAUCCGGAUUUAUUGGGUUUAAAGGGUCUGUAGGCGGAUCUGUAAGUCAGUGGUGAAAUCUCAUAGCUUAACUAUGAAACUGCCAUUGAUACUGCAGGUCUUGAGUAAGGUAGAAGUAGCUGGAAUAAGUAGUGUAGCGGUGAAAUGCAUAGAUAUUACUUAGAACACCAAUUGCGAAGGCAGGUUACUAUGUCUUAACUGACGCUGAUGGACGAAAGCGUGGGGAGCGAACAGGAUUAGAAACCCUGGUAGUCC